GAUGAACGCUGGCGGCGUGCUUAACACAUGCCAGUCGAACGGAAAGGCCGAAGCUUGCUUCGGUACUCGAGUGGCGAACGGGUGAGUAACACGUGGGUGAUCUGCCCUGUACUUCGGGAUAAGCUUGGGAAACUGGGUCUAAUACCGGAUAUGACGAUCUCUUGGAUGGGGUUGUGGAAAGCUUUUGCGGUAUGGGAUGAGCUCGCGGCCUAUCAGCUUGUUGGUGGGGUAAUGGCCUACCAAGGCGUCGACGGGUAGCCGGCCUGAGAGGGUGUACGGCCACAUUGGGACUGAGAUACGGCCCAGACUCCUACGGGAGGCAGCAGUGGGGAAUAUUGCACAAUGGGCGCAGGCCUGAUGCAGCGACGCCGCGUGGGGGAUGACGGCCUUCGGGUUGUAAACUCCUUUCGCAAUCGACGAAGCCUUUUGGUGACGGUAGGUUGAGAAGAAGCACCGGCUAACUACGUG
rnacentral:rRNA from 1 species